rnacentral:misc_RNA from 1 species
AAGUCGUAACAAGGUAACCGUAGGUGAACCUGCGGUUGGAUCAUUACCAAAUGAUGGCCCUGCAGCUUCCUGCUGCAGGCUACUCUACACCUGUGAACUUGCUGUUUUUCGGGCGGGCAUCACGUCCGCCCGGCAGUGUUAACACCCUUUAAUCUUGGCUGAGAAUACAAUGUUAAUUAUGUAACAACUUUUGACAACGGAUCUCUUGGCUCUC